rnacentral:rRNA from 1 species
UUGAACGCUGGCGGCAGGCCUAACACCUGCAAGUCGAGCGGAUGAAGGGAGCUUGCUCCUGGAUUCAGCGGCGGACGGGUGAGUAAUGCCUAGGAAUCUGCCUGGUAGUGGGGGAUAACGUCCGGAAACGGGCGCUAAUACCGCAUACGUCCUGAGGGAGAAAGUGGGGGAUCUUCGGACCUCACGCUAUCAGAUGAGCCUAGGUCGGAUUAGCUAGUUGGUGGGGUAAAGGCCUACCAAGGCGACGAUCCGUAACUGGUCUGAGAGGAUGAUCAGUCACACUGGAACUGAGACACGGUCCAGACUCCUACGGGAGGCAGCAGUGGGGAAUAUUGGACAAUGGGCGAAAGCCUGAUCCAGCCAUGCCGCGUGUGUGAAGAAGGUCUUCGGAUUGUAAAGCACUUUAAGUUGGGAGGAAGGGCAGUAAGUUAAUACCUUGCUGUUUUGACGGUACCAACAGAAUAAGCACCGGCUAACUUCGUG